GAUGAACGCUGGCGGCGUGCCUAAUACAUGCAAGUCGAACGAAACUUCUUUAUCACCGAGUGCUUGCACUCACCGAUAAAGAGUUGAGUGGCGAACGGGUGAGUAACACGUGGGCAACCUGCCCAAAAGAGGGGGAUAACACUUGGAAACAGGUGCUAAUACCGCAUAACCAUAGUUACCGCAUGGUAACUAUGUAAAAGGUGGCUAUACUACCGCUUUUGGAUAGGCCCGCGGCGCAUUAGCUAGUUGGUAGGGUAAAGGCUUACCAAGGCAAUGAUGCGUAGCCGAAUUGAGAGGUUGAUCGGCCACAUUGGGACUGAGACACGGCCCAAACUCCUACGGGAGGCAGCAGUAGGGAAUCUUCCACAAUGGGCGAAAGCCUGAUGGAGCAACGCCGCGUGGGUGAAGAAGGUCUUCGGAUCGUAAAACCCUGUUGUUAGAGAAGAAAGUGCGUGAGAGUAACUGUUCACGUUUCGACGGUAUCUAACCAGAAAGCCACGGCUAACUACGUG
rnacentral:rRNA from 1 species